GUGAGUCAUCGAGUCUUUGAACGCAUAUUGCGCUCUUUGGUAUUCCGAAGAGCAUGCUUGUUUGAGUAUCAGUAAACACCUCAACCUCCUCUUGUUUUUUCAAAAGGAGGGUGGACUUGAGCAAUCCCCAACUGUCGAAAGAGAGGAGGGUUGCUUGAAAUGCAGGUGCAGCUAGACAUUCUUCUGAGCUAAAAGCAUAUUUAUUUAGUCCCGUCAAACGGAUUAUUACUUUUGCUCUAGCUAAUAUAAAGGUCGAAUGCGCUACAUGGUGUGACUGAUGCAGGAUUAACAAGAGCCGCAAGGUUUUUGUAAACUCGAUCUCAAAUCAAGUAAGACUACCCGCUGAACUUAAGCAUAUCAAUAAGGCGAGG
rnacentral:rRNA from 1 species